CCUACGGGAGGCAGCAGUAGGGAAUCUUCCACAAUGGGCGCAAGCCUGAUGGAGCAACACCGCGUGAGUGAAGAAGGGUUUCGGCUCGUAAAGCUCUGUUGUUGGAGAAGAACGUGCGUGAGAGUAACUGUUCACGCAGUGACGGUAUCCAACCAGAAAGUCACGGCUAACUACGUGCCAGCAGCCGCGGUAAUACGUAGGUGGCAAGCGUUAUCCGGAUUUAUUGGGCGUAAAGCGAGCGCAGGCGGUCGCUUAGGUCUGAUGUGAAAGCCUUCGGCUUAACCGAAGAAGGGCAUCGGAAAGCGGGCGACUUGAGUGCAGAAGAGGACAGUGGAACUCCAUGUGUAGCGGUGGAAUGCGUAGAUAUCACGCAGAACUCCGAUUGCGAAGGCAGCAUACCGGCGCCCAACUGACGCUGAAGCACGAAAGCGUGGGUAUCGAACAGGAUUAGAUACCCUUGUAGUC
rnacentral:rRNA from 1 species